rnacentral:misc_RNA from 1 species
GCUGAAUUUAGCACUAUGAUCAACAACUGUUUGAUAUAAAUAAUGACUAAAGAGUUGGAAAGAUUUAUCCCACUUAGCACAUAAGGUGAAGGCUCUAAGCUCACUAACAUACAUAGAAUAUGGUCAAGAACCAAAAAUUCCAAUGCCAGGACAAUACAAUAAGUUCUGAUAUAUAAUCAUUUCUCCUUUUUUGUUUUUUCUUUUUCUUUUUCUUCCAAUGGUGCCCUAAGCAUUACCUGCAACAUCAACUUUUGCUUUUUAACAUGAUAUUUCAAUAAAUUUGAGAAGCAACUUCCUAGGAAAUAGUAAUUCAGAAACAAACUUAUUUCCCUGCUUUUGUUCAGAUUUUGUCUGAUGAUUCUUUUAUACAGAAUACAUCUUAACAGUCUUUACAGACUGAAGAUUCAACUUAACUCCUGUAAGCUUGCUUACCAUAGAGCAUGCCAUGUUGAAUCUCAUUCACACAUGCCAAAACUAUGAUCAUACACUAUAUAAUCUACUAAUUGGAUAACAAGAAUCAAACACACAAUCAGAAGUCUCUUACAAAGAUGAGCAUGUAAUGAAAUGAAUUCUCAUAUUUCAAAGAGAACAAUAAAACUGCUUACGAUGCAAAAACCGACUAGGAAGAAUGCGCAUUUUUUUGCUCUUCCUGUUGUUCAUGCUUCUCACCUUGCCAUGCCCAGACAAUGUCCUUGAGAGCUGGCCUUAAACCUUGUUCUAGUACCUGUGUGUACUCCAGUGUAUCACCAGAUGAUUUUUUCACCUCUACCAAAUGAAAAGAUGGAGUAAACUCAAAUACUUCUGCCUCAAUGGACAAUGCACCUUUUCUACCUUUCUCAGAUCCCUCCAAUUUCAACAACCCUCCAUCCUUUUUCUUUACUUCCAACUGCAGAUUCUUAGCAGUGUCCUCUAGUUUAGUUAUGAUAGUUGAGGCAGAGUGCAUUGAAGUGAAUUUUGUUUGUUUCUCCUGGUGACUUUUGUCAAAAAAACCAGAAAAGUCUAACCCGUUUGAAAGAGAGAUGAUAUCAAAAGCAUUCAAACUAGUAGGUUUGCCCAACUCUUUCUUAUCUUCAGAAAAAGUGAGAGUAUCCUCAUAAGGAACCAAAGUUGAAUAGGCCACCACAGGUUCUGGUUUCUUGGCAUCAGCUUUGGUUUUAGCGGCUUUUGAAUUGAAUCCUUUUCUAAACCAGGGAGUUUCCAUUAUUUUGGCAAUGCAAAUUCUAUUACUUGGAUUAGGGUCGAGCAUUUUCGAUACCAGCUUGCGUACUUCAGACGAAAACCAGUUAGGAAAUUUAUAUUCUGCCUUGCUUAUUUUCCUAUACAACGAAAUCAAAUUUGCAUCAUGGAAUGGAAGAUAACCGGCCAGCAAAACAUAUAAGAUUACGCCGCAAGACCAAAUGUCAGCUUUUGCCCCAUCAUAGCCUUUUCUACUGAUAACUUCAGGAGCAACAUAUGCAGGAGUUCCACAAGUUGUGUGGAGCAAACCAUCUUGACUUUCAGACUCAACAAGUGCACUCAAGCCAAAAUCUGAUACUUUUAGAACUCCAUUCUCAUCCAGUAGUAAGUUUUCUGGUUUCAAAUCCCGGUGAUAGACACCUCUGCUGUGACAAAAAUCAACUGCACUGAUUAACUGUUGAAAAUAGUUCCUUGCAGCAUCUUCCUUGAACCUUCCUUUCGCUACCUUCUUAAAAAGCUCACCACCUUUAGCAUAUUCUAUGACAAAGUAAAUCUUGCUUUUAGAGGCCAUGACCUCAUCAAGUUGCAAGACAUUUGGAUGUUUAACCAGU